ensembl:lncRNA
CUUAAGUUCCUAUAUCCCCGUGUUCAGUCAGUGUUUGUGUCUGCCCUGUUCCCACGUCUCUGUUCCCUUUGUAGUGCCUGCAUGUGAGUCUGUGUCUUUGUUCAGUCUGUGUUAUGUGUUUCCUGUUUUACUUUGAAGGUCUCUGUCUUUUCUCAGUGUGUUCAGUUUAUGCUUCUUUGGUCUCGUCAGUUCUGAUUUGCCCCAGCUGUGUUUCCCUCCUGUUACCCAUUCCCUGAUUGCUCCCUCUGUGUAUUUAAGCCCUGUGUUUCUCUGUGUCCGUGUCGCGAUCUACUGUUUUCCUAGCUGUGUGUUCUGUCAUUCCUCCAGUUUAAGUUUGUUUUGAUUUUUUUUUUUUCAGUUAUAUUUUUGAGUACCAAAGUAAAGCCUUUUUGAGUUCACCUCUGUCUCCGGAGUCUGCACCUUGGGUCCUAUUCCUGCCUGCACACAGCCACACCUAACAAUUUGUUGUCUCCCUCACUUUGCUGAAGAGCGCGAGCAUGUUGGAGGAGAAUUCUCAUUUGGCCUGCAUUCAAUCAUCUCCUAUUGUAAGACCCAAUGAAAGCUCCACUGAUGCUAAAACAUGAAGCUAUGGCUCUGUUUUGUGGUGCAAGCAGCAAAGCAGAUCAAAUUCUCAGGCAAAGAAGAAAUGCAGAGUUUGUCUCCCUGCAAACCCUUAUGUCCCAGAAUUAAGUUUGUUUAAACAUAGUGAUGUUAAAAUGUCACGUGCGACGGCUUAUUAUCGCUUGUGUCCUGCUUUAAACCUUCUCUUCAUCAUUCUGCUCUUUAAAUCUAGUCUCUUCAUUUCUUCAUCUUUAUUCCCAAUUUUCAUUUUCUUGAUUAUGUCUCCAUUCAGCUCCUCCCCCCCAUCACCUUCUCUGGCAGGCGUUAGUCUAAAUGAGGGUGAUUUAUUAUCGCGUUUCUCCUUUCCUACUGAAGCACCAUUACUGCAGACGCCUCGCCAGAAACACAAAGGCUCACUAGGAUUUUACAAUUCCCAGCGCACAUACUAAUUCAUAUACAGAAUACAGAAUGAGAUCAUGUAAAGAAGUUCCUACACAGAGCUUCAAAAUACGCCGUUUGCACACAAUGAUGUGCAAGUAUGCAUGCUGGCUGACACACUCUUAU